CAAGACUUCUGCAAGCUGGGGUUUCCCUCUGAACCUGUGCGUGCCUCCAGGGUAACCAGGAACAGUCAUGAAUUCAUGGCACAUGAACUGGGCUAACUCAGUUCAGAGCCUUUGUCCCCCAAAGCAGUGAAGUUGCUGCAGCAGUGCCUGAGAGCUGACUGUGUGAGCUGCAUGUGCGGCUGCACAAAUGGGGUCAGUGACCGCAGUGCCGCAGCAGUGAUCCAUCCCAGGGCACUGCAGCCCUUCCUCCUGCAUUUCUACAGGAAGCUUCAUAUUCCUACUUCUGCCUCAAACCAGCCAAUUCCUAGGAGAAACAUCACGCAAUUCAUUGCAGUUGCCUGCAAAGCCUGGGUCACUCUGUUGCCAAAUGAUGAGAUUCAAGACCCAGAAACUUGGAUCUUUGCAAAUUGCAUGCCAGCUAUAGCUAGGAUUCAGAUUUUCUUUUUUUACAUCCAUCUACCAAAAUUAACCUAGGAAAUGCCUAAGAAAUGCCACCAAAAAGAAACUUCUCCUUGGACAAAUACAGAUAACAUCAGCUAUUAAAAACCAAAUAAACCAGAUCUACAGACUAUCUCUUACCAGUUCAGUUGCUGUGGUACACAUGAGUAGAUGAAAUAUGUUAAGGGUAUCCCUGCUGAAAUGUAAAAUGCAAGUGCUGAGAAGCUAACCAAACUGUAUGAAAGCAUACCAGCUGGGCUGAGACAGCAAAGGAGGAAGGUCAGGAACUCUGAAAAGAAGGAGGAUCAAUACCAAAGUCUUGAGAGGAAUGCAUUCAAGUCCUACAGAGAAAAAGAAAACUACCUUAGGUGAAUUGUCAGAAGCAGCUGCCUGUUCAAAUAAUAAUGGUGCUUGCUCUUUUGCUCAAGUUUCUUUUUCUUUUUUUUUUCUUUUCUUCUCUUUUCCUUUUCUUCUCUGCAUUCCCUUGACUGAUAACAGAAAAAAAAUGGUGCCUCUAUGUGCUAUUGCAAAAAUGUUGAAAUCUGGCAAAUGGAAAAAGGCUAGAAAAAUAAAAGAUUAAAAAUGUUAAAGUAUAUUCAGCAGCCAAGAAGCUAACCCAAAACCACAGGUAACAAGUUCAUGCAGAUGUCAACUUAAAGUUCAGAUGGAUCAGCAUUUCAAGUGAAUAUUCUGCAGGGUUUCUAAAGAGAAAGGUUGACUUCUUUUGAGAGCCAUGAUGAAAACUUUGCCUCACCAUGGACCCAGCUUUCAGAAGCGAGGUGAAAAUUAGGCAUGGAUGAUUCCUCUGAUUGAAAACCUCCACAGUUUUACCCAAUUAAGGUUGUUAAUGGUGGUUGUUAACUAAGAGCUUAAGCGAGCAUGUCAAGGGCAGUCUGGAGAUGUUGCUACUGUUUGGAAGGCUGUGAUGGCAUCUAGUCAGUCCUGAGCAAGGAAACCAAGGAAUCCUUUCCCAUGAGGACCAAGGAGCCUUUGCAGAGUGUACAGCAGGUGCUGCCAGAGGCACAGGAAUUUCAAGAAGAUUUGUUUCACACUGAAAUGCUGCAGGCCACAAGAGCUAGCACCACCAGGCCAACUAUGCACAAGCAAACGGUGCCAGACACACUCUCAGCAAUGCCAAAUGCUCAAAGUUCAUAAAUUACAGAUCUGCAGGAAGGGGUCACGCUGGCUCAAAUACUGUGAAUGUUUAGUCCAAGUCUGUGACUGACAAAAGAUGCCCAAAUUUCCUUGAAGGAAUACCACAGAAAGCAGUCAUACACCUUCUGCCAGCUUAUGUAGCUCACUCUGAGACACUAGAGACUACUUUAUAAUGGACAGGGAAGCCAGAGGUGACCAGUGAACCCUUCCCCACAGUGCUGGUUAUCCUGUAGGCGGGAGGAGCCCUACUUAUGCUGGAAUGAUGUUGUCACAUCCUUCUUACAGAUACAUGCAAUUCCACAUCUAGAAAUUUUAAGUGUUCAACUGCUCUUAGCCACUUAUUUGUUUAUAAGUUUCUUUUAUGCCUCUCUCCUGUUGAGCAAAAAUCCUUUCCAAGUUGUAGAAAACCCGAAUGACUUUAAAUCUGAUGAGAUUUUAAACAAACAAUAAUUUGGAAGAUUAUUUUUUUGGCUUCUGCUUUUUGAGCUCCUUGGUUUCAUUUUCAAACUUCUCCCUGCAACCAGAAGGACUAAGGAAAUAAACAUGAUGUUUUAAAUGAAACCUGAGAAUCUCAUAUAAUCAUAAUUGUAGGACUCCAGGGGUUUGAGGUUUCAGAAUAAUCUCAUGAGCUGUCAAUACUGAAUGUCACCAGAAACGAUAAUGUUAUUCUGGGAAUAGAUGCCUAAAAGCAACGGUGGGAUAGUUUUUCUGUUAUAUGCUCCCCAUAAUACCUACAAAUGCUGUUCUGGGGGGACACCACAAAGCUACCUGCAAGUGGUGAGCUGCCAAAUGCUGGCUUUAGCUGCCAGCUAGGGCUGUUAUAUUUUGCAACAAAUUUACAUAUGCAAAGCCCUGUUAUUCAGUCUGUCAACUAAACAAGGAAAGUACAAAUUCAUCACAGACUCAUAAGAACAUUUAAUGCCAUGAGGAAUAUGCAGAAAUAAGUAGGGGGCCAAUUUAACCACCCAUCUCUUCUGUAUUGUAUGCUUGCACACAUUGCAAGGCACGGCUGCAUUGUGUGUUAUUGCAGAUUAUUAUCAGCUACUCUCACAGACUGCCUUAGAUUCUACCAUAAUCUCUCAGCAGGACUUGAAUGAAAUUCUCAAUCUGGUUUGUUUCAAGGAUCUAAUCUAUAUUACACAGCUAGUACCUUAGUCCAUUUGGUGAAGAGAAAAUUAGUAAAGUGAUCAGGAAACUGACAAACAAAUAUAACAGGAGGCUGCUUCAGCCUCCUUGUCAUCCUGCAGAAGCAGACUUGGCUGCUUGGUACCCUUGCUUAUUAUUAGAAUACCUGAAAAGACCCUGUUCUUCUCCAAGUCAGUGUUAACCUGAUUUCAAUAACAAAACAGUGGUACAGGUUUGGCAGGCACAUAGCCAGUACUUACAAGAAGAAAGCCAAGCAUUUGUAUAAGCCAGUUUGGCACUUCACUGUGCUGAAAAGAAACCUUUGCAUCUUUGUCACUUCAAAUUUGGGAUUUUUUAGCACCAGAACAUGCCUAACACGAAAGAACUUUUUUCUGCUGCCCACUUUCUCCAAGUAUGUCAGUGCUAUCUUAACUCAUUUUCUAAAACUAAAAGUGAACACAAAAAUUCAAGGUCUCAAAAAUGCCAAGGGCUCAGCCCUACAAAAUAUAUAAAACCUUAUUUGAAGGAAAUAUCUAAUUCCUACAGGUAGCUAUAGUACAGAUAGACAAUGAAGCAUUUUUAGGGAUGAGAACGCUCUGCUGUGAGCCAUGGGCAGUACCUUAGGAACAUUAAAUAUUUCUGUCAUUUUCCUUAUGUUUCAAGCAAGCCCAGCCAUUACCAAUGCAUACCUAAAUAUAGUGUAUAUGUACAAUCUACAUCUAUCCUGGAAACAAAUCCCACAGUUUAUCGUGUAAGAGUCAGUCACUCUGCACUUGUGUAGCUGAAUGCACACUCUCAUUCUGUGUGUGCUCUCUCGUUCUUCCCCAGUUACUCCCCUUUCUCUGCUCCUCAUGUGAGGAUUCUGGUGGCCUUCUGCAUCUCACAGGCUUAAGCUGCAAGUGAGCUACAGCUGUAAUCUCAGGUCACUCCCAAGCAAACUUUGCUCCCACAUCACAGCUCUGAUGACCUGGUGUGGUCAAAUGUUUUCAAGGGGAGCUCUGGCACCAUUUUUAACACUUAGAUUUAAUCAAAAUGUCUUUUGUUUGCCUGGUUGUUUUUCCUUUAAAAUUGUUGUUCUAAGUAGAGUGCAUACUGAUAACAAAGGCCUUGAGAAACUUACAGUAUUACUUAAGAUAGGAACUGCUGCAAUGUUUAUCUGCACUAAAAGGAAGAAACAAAUUUUAUUGGGCAGGUUUGUUUGUUUUGUUUUCUCAUUAAAAGAACAACUUUUUGCAUUACAUGAUGAGUUACUAAAUAUUAUUGAGUGCUAAAUCACAGCUAUAACUAUUCAGAAGGAAAAAAUUUAUUUCAAGAUUAAGGAGAAAAACCAGUAAGACAAUGUUAUGUGGGGCACAUGAUUUCUAUUUGUUUUUAAACAGUGGCUGCUUGAAGCUGCUUGGAGAUUUAGAGUGUCAAAGGCAUGUCAGCAGAGAUGGAUUAGUGGGCAGAGAGCAAGUGGUGCAGUCAAAGGUUCAUACUGAAUGUAAUUUAUUCAUGUAGCUCAACAAUUUAUCACGUGGCUAUUACCAUAAUGUACGUGGGAAGCAGCUGCGUGCGUGCAAAUAAUGCCUUAAAUGUAUGUGUGGUUGGAUCUGAACUCCUUACAGAACAGCAGUGGUGGAAAAUGAUGCCACAAGGCAUUUAAAAGCAAAUUUCCUUCCUGUGGGGAUGCUGUCACCCAGCAAUGAUGAUUUGUACACAGGCAAAUAAAUAUCUUGUAGGCUUUUCUCAGUUGUGAUAACCUCACUUACCAGAACUCAUUGGUCUUUCAAACCUAAAUAAUGUAGGUAAUGUGGUGUAUGUUUCCAGUGCUGUAUUAAGAGAUUUAAGUGUGCAUGUUUUGUACACCAUACUCUUAUUUUCUUUUCAAGGAACUCAGUAUCUUCCACACACUAUUUAACAGAAAUGUCCAAUCACAAAGAAAAGAGAGUCUCUGUGUGUGUGAGGACAAAGAAGUUCUCUACAAGUUAAAGAUCUCCUUUAACUGAAACAACCUCUCACAGUGUGAUCUAGCAAACACUUGGGAGCAGCACGGCUGUAAAAUAUUGAUAUACAUACAUAUGUGUGUAUAUACAUAUAUAGUGUCAGAUUCUUAUACCUGUGCAUUUACUUACCAAGCCAAAUAUUUCCAAACCCAGUCUAUUUUAGGACCAUGUAAAAUGAGGAGCUCUGGUCUCUCUUGGCUUGCUUGAAUGCCUACAGUUUCAGCUAGGAAGAAAGCUCUGAGUAGUUGCUAGAGCUUGGAGGUGAUUUUAGCUGCACUGUCCAUACAUACCUGCUGCAGCUCCUUGGGUAGCUGGGAAACCUUCAACAGCCCCACUCCCAACACCAUUUUUUAAGCUUUAGCAACUAGAGUUUAACUGGUCUCACUGUUUGGAAAUUAUACUUAAUUAUGCCAUGCUAUGAUGCUUUAAACUGAUUUUAGUGGAAUCAGUUCAUGCAAAUCUUUCUUGAUCAGGCAAAGGCCAUCCCAGUUAUGGGUUAGCACAAUAACAGUUUCAUGCUGGUUUCUUUAGAUACAUUAAAUGUUGCUGUAGAGAGACAUGGAAUUCAGAUAAAGUCAAGUCCUCAGAAACAGAACACCUCAUUGCUCAGCUUAAUGUACUGCUCAGAGUUUUGUACAGCAGAACCUUUCACAUUUGGAAUAUGAUGCAGGUUUUCUUGGAUAAUUUCGUGUGCACUCUAGGACUUCUAUUUUGAAGCCAUAUAUCACAAAUAUAUCCCCACUAAUUAUGCAAAAUGAAAAGCUUGCCUUACCAUUGC